rnacentral:rRNA from 1 species
CCUACGGGAGGCUGCAGUGAGGAAUAUUGGUCAAUGGACGAGAGUCUGAACCAGCCAAGUAGCGUGAAGGAUGACUGCCCUAUGGGUUGUAAACUUCUUGUAUAUGGGAAUAAAAUGUUCCACGUGUGGGAUUUUGUAUGGACCAUAGGAAUAAGGAACGGCUAACGCCGUGCCAGCGGCCGCGGUAAUACGGAGGAUCCGGGCGUUAUCCGGCUUUAUUGGGUUUAAAGGGAGCGUAGGUGGAUUGUUAAGGCAGUUGUGAAAGUUUGCGGCUCAACCGUAAAAUUGCAGUUGAAACUGGCAGUCUUGAGUACAGUAGAGGUGGGCGGAAUUCGUGGUGUAGCGGUGAAAUGCUUAGAUAUCACGAAGAACUCCGAGUGCGAAGGCAGUUCACUGGACUGCAACUGACACUGAGGCUCGAAAGUGUGGGUAUCAAACAGGAUUAGAGACCCGGGUAGUC